rnacentral:lncRNA from 15 species
CACUGUUAUAGUUGAGUUAAACUUAAUUCACUUCUUUAUGUCGGCGACGGAUACACCUGACGUACCUGCGGGAUGGCGGCACGUAUGAGCCCUCUUCCUGCAGUAACUGCUGGAAGUGGCUGCUGCAGACAGACAGCCAAAACCAGCUAGAAAUGUGCUGGUGUCACUUUCUCACCUUUCAUCCUCACCGGUGUCUCUCUGCCUGCCCCACUUUUGCCCCUUCUUCCUCGUGGGUGCCACUGCCAAUGAAAAGUAGUGUGUCAGACGACAAGAGAGGAAACCUGACAAGCUCUGCCUGGAUCUUCCCCUUCCCUUUUCAGCAAGAGCAGCUCCCAUGCAGACUGGGGCCAAGACAGAAGCAGUAAAUGCACCUCACAGUAACAAGGUAGUCAUCUCGUUCAUCAUGUGUGCUGAGGAUUUUCAUUAAUCCUUAUAUGAACAUGCCAAUUGCUCCACUUUUUCCAGCUGAUUUUCAGAUUAAGGAUUUGUACUGCAGAUAAACAGCACAAAUCUGGGCCAAAAUAUUUCAUUAGUUUUACUGAAAACCCAUUUAAAAGCAUGACUGAUGUUAUAAUACUGAGGCUUUAACGAGGGAGAAAUAUAAUAUUGUUUCAAACAUAAUUGCUGUAUAUUUUCAGUUAACUCUUUCCAUCACGUAGCCUAUUUUUAUUAAUCACGGGCUGAAGUAAAUUCCAAAUUUGAACAAGAUUAAGACAAAUGUAUUCAUAUCAAAGACACUUUGGAACAAGGAGCCAAAUCUAAAAAUUGUUAAUACAUUUUCCAGCAAAGCAAACAUGUUACACAGAGAAGGACAAGAGGGUUUCCCGCAUGGUGUGGAGAGUAUUGAAAGUCAAUUUGUCACUAUCAUACGCCAUUAGCUGCAGAAUCUUAUCUCAAGUGUGCCUUUGAUAAAGUGCUAAUGACAAACAGUUUAGUGUUGUAAGGGAUCCCAUUGAUUACUAUUUAAAGAUGAUUGCAUUUAGAUUAGAAGUCAUUUUGUCUAAUGAGGUGUCUUUACAGCUACUACAAUAUGUAGAAAAUAUGCUUAAGUGCAAGGCGACAUAAUGAUCGGAUUGGUAAAGAGACAAUGCCGACUUCAGCAUCACUUCAAAUGAGUCACACAGAACGUCUGAAUAAAUACAUAAUUAAUGUGAAUAAAGUUAAUAUUUUUUGUGGUUUAAAUAUGUGACCUAUUUUGAACGUUGUGUUCUCAAAAUAUAUUCAAUAAGUGCCAAAUUAGUUGUGCAGUUCUUUAAUCAUUCUAAUUAUACAGUCUUUAUUGCUCCUUAGGGCAGACUUUCGUGUCUUUGUCUCAGUGGGAAUUAUUUUGGUGAAGAACCAAAAUAUUUACUCAACCACAACCUAAAUAUUACGCAUAUCAAGAGGAAUUGAGAAAUAAUCCUCUCAUAGAGCACAGUAUUAACUUAAUCACAUUAGGGAAAAUACUAUUGAUAGUGGUCAUGAUCCCUAGUGAGGGAAUCUGUAAUUCACAAUAAAACAGCCAUACAAGCCAGAGCACACUGCAGUGUGUAUUAAAGACUGGGGAGUGGAACAUGAAAAAUGGCCCUGAGGAUUGAGUGAGUGUGUGUGAGUGAAUGCUUGAAUGAUGGUAAAGAGGGAGGAAAG